rnacentral:rRNA from 1 species
UGGUCAAGUUAUUAAGGGUGCAGGGUGGAUGCCUUGGCACUAGGAGCCGAUGAAGGACGUGAUAAGCUGCGAUAAGCUUCGGGGAGUUGCACGUAAACUUUGAUCCGAAGAUUUCCGAAUGAGGAAACUCACUUAGAGUAAUGUCUAAGUAUCAUUAAGUGAAUACAUAGCUUAAUGAGGGGAACUCAGGGAACUGAAACAUCUAAGUACCUGAAGGAAGAGAAAGAAAUUCGAUUCCGUAAGUAGCGGCGAGCGAACGCGGAUUAGCCCAAACCAAUAAAGUUUUCUUUAUUGGGGUUGCGGACAUAUCAUAACGAAGAGGUAUCGUAAUUGAAGAGGUUUGGAAAGACCCACCACAGAAGGUAAUAGUCCUGUAUGUUAAACGAGAAGACUUCAGAUAUGAUCCAGAGUACCACGGGACACGUGAAACCCUGUGGGAAGCAGGAGGGACCACCCUCCAAGGCUAAAUACUACCUAGUGACCGAUAGCGUAUAG